UACGUAGGGUGCGAGCGUUAAUCGGAAUUACUGGGCGUAAAGCGUGCGCAGGCGGUUUUGUAAGUCAGAUGUGAAAUCCCCGGGCUUAACCUGGGAAUGGCAUUUGGGACUGCAAGGCUGGAGUGCGGCAGAGGAGACUGGAAUUCCUGGUGUAGCAGUGAAAUGCGUAGAUAUCAGGAGGAAUACCGAUGGCGAAGGCAGGUCUCUGGGCUGACACUGACGCUCAUGCACGAAAGCGUGGGGAGCAAACAGG
rnacentral:rRNA from 1 species